rnacentral:rRNA from 1 species
AUGACUAGGGAUAACCUUAGGAAGAGACACAUCAUCAAACCCCUUGAUUGUGUUUACUGCUUGGAACAAGAGUCUUGUUGUCACCUAUUUUUUGAAUGUAUAGUUGCUAAACAUCUCUGGGCCCACAUUGAGGAAUAUUUCUCUAGUCAGAUUGGCUCAUCAUUCGGAUCUGUCGCCAAAUUCUGGAUUGCUACCAAAAAGUGCUCAGUUUUAAAUACUGUUAGCUCAGCUAUCCUUUGGUGCCUCUAGAAAUAUAGAGAUGCUAUGGUUUUCAGUAACACCUCCUGGAUUUCCAUUCCGCAGGUCAUGAGGUUGAUCAGGAACAUGGUGAGGAACUGGGAAAUUCUCUCCUCCGAAUCGGACAAGGACAAGUUGAUGAGCUUUGUGGAAACCCUAACAAGAUCCCUCCAGAAACCAUUGGCGAUCACUUGUGGCUGA